UACGUAGGGAGCAAGCGUUGUCCGGAAUCAUUGGGCGUAAAGAGCGUGUAGGCGGUCCUGUAAGUCCGCUGUGAAAGUCAAGGCUCAACCCUUGAAUGCCGGUGGAUACUGCAGGACUAGAAGUCCGGAAGAGGCGAGUGGAAUUCCGUGGUGUAGCGGUGAAUGCGCAGAGUAUCAGGAGGAACACCGGUGGCGAAGGCGGUCUCUGGGCAGUGAACUGACCGCUGAGGAGCGAAAGCGUGGGGAGCGAACAGG
rnacentral:rRNA from 1 species